CAGACAGGCCUUGCUAUGUCUUCCCAGUCACUCAGCUAAGAUUCGAUCAGACCCUUUUUGUCUGGUUAUAUUUCUACACGACUGUCCACACUUUCUUGAACCUAAGUAUAAAAGUGGACAAUUUCCUCUCUAUCUUUCGGUCUUCAUUCUGAAGGCUCCUGUGUAUAUAGGUUAAAUAAGUGUGUAUGCCCUUUCUCCUAUUAAUCAAUCUGCUUCAUGUCAGUGAUUUUCCAGUGAACCUCUGACAAGCAAUGCUGGCUCAAUUAGAAAUAGAAAUUUGCAGGCUGGGCAUGGUGGCUCACACCUAUAAUCCCAGCACUUUGGGAGGCUAAGGCAGGUGGAUCACCUGAGGUCAGGAGUUCGAAACCAGGCUGGCCAACAUGGUGAAACUCUGUCUCUUAAAAAUACAAAAAUUAGCCAGGCGUGGUAUCACAUGCCUGUAGUCCUAGCUGCUCAGGAGGCUGAGACAGGAGAAUCACUUGAACCUGGGUGACAGAGCGAGACUCCACCUCAAAAAAGAAAGAAAACAGAAAUUUGCAAAAUUAUCAGCUGUGAGACCUCGGCCAGUGGAUUAUGAAGCCACACACCCCGAAUGUUGUUCCCUUGCAGGGACCCAGCCCCUCCCUUGAGAAUCCAGGUUCCUAACUUCUGGUCUCCCACGCCCUCCGUGCUAUGCAGUGUCAGCCCAGUGUCUGGCUCACAGCAGCCCUGAGCAUUGUUGGAUCGGGACUGCCGGGAAGCAGAAUUUGAUGACAGCUUUUGGGUUUGACUUGCCAGUGAGCACGUUUGGCCGGGUGUGGGGCUUCCAUGGUGUAGCUGGCCCACGGCCUUGAAUUUCUUCCAGUUUUCAAUGGGUCCACUGCAUUUCCCAAAUGGACUCUUGCAAAGGGCGUCUCACAAGCCUGUGUGUGUAAGCAUACGUGCGUGCGCACGUAGAGAACAGCCCCCUUCUUGGAUGUCCAGCCUUUAAGAUGACAUCAAAUCACCCUCAUCACCAUCCGCAAACAUGCCUUGAGCACUCAGUAUUGCAAAGCAC
rnacentral:lncRNA from 13 species